GGAAGAAAUAAGAUUCACAACUCCGUACAAGUUCGCUGUCACGGUCAAAACUUUCACUGGUACUACAACACGUAUAGAGCAAAGGGACUAGCUUCAACAUGUAAAAAUAAUCAUUUUGGAUUCGGAAUUUUUCUGCCUGCCCAUUUCUGAACUUAACGACGUUUGGCUAUGGGAUCUGCGUUUCAAGAUCCGGAAUCAGAAUGGAAAAGAUAUAUUCCAUCCCCCACUUAUAAUGUUCCUGAGUCUCUGAUACCAAGAACUUUUACCAGUGAAUGGACGAAACCCGUACAAAAAUACUCAAAACU